GACGAACGCUGGCGGCGUGCCUAAUACAUGCAAGUCGAGCGCAUGCACCCGGCUGCCCUCUUCGGCGGGAAACCGGGGCAUUGAGCGGCGCACGGGUGAGUAACACAUCGGCAGCCUGCCGUCCAGAAGGGGAUAACUCCGGGAAACCGGAGCUAAUACCCGACAAUCAAGCCGAUCUCCUGCUCGGCUUGUAGAAGCAUGGUCUUCGGACUACGCACUGGAUGAUGGGCCCGCGGCGUAUGAGCGUGAUGGGCAGGAAAGGGCUCCCCAAGUCGGCGAGACGUAGGCGUACUGAGGGGGUGAUCAGCAGCACUGGGACGGAGACGCGGCCCAGAACUCGGCGGGAGACAGCAGCAGGGAAUCAUCCGCAAUGAGCGGAAGUCUGACGGUGGAACGCCGCGUGAGUGAUGAAGGUUAUCGGAGCGUAAAGCUCUGUUGUGAGGGAAGAACAAGCGCGGUUCUAAGAGGGACACCCCCUGACGGUACCUCACCAGAAAGCCCCGGCUAACUACGUG
rnacentral:rRNA from 1 species